rnacentral:lncRNA from 10 species
GGAUUACAGGCGUGAGCCACCGCGCCCGGCCUUUUAAAUGGCUUUAAAUCAGUAGAUGCAUAUUUUUAAACUUUAAUUUUAGAAAGUACUCUGCCUGCAACGUGAAACAUAGACUGAAGGUGGGUGAUGCGGAGAAAGACUGAAGGCUGCUGGGAGUUUAUAAAGAUCAGAAAAAAGACACUUUGCAAAUUCUGAUGAUACUACUAAAAGAUACACAAGAAUUGGUUCCUUCCGGUGGGUUCUUGGUCUCGCUAACUUCAAGAAUGAAGCUGCGGACCCUUGUGAUUCUCAGUAUCUGCUUAUGUUUUAGGUAAAAAAAAGUAUUCUAGACAUAUUGAAAAGAACAGAGGACUGGAUGCCACCUAACUGGGGUCAAAUUUACUCUGCUUCUCAAGAUCUGCAAUAUCUUAGGAAAAUCCUUCUACCUCUCUUGACACAUUCUCAACUUGCAGUCCCAGAGAAGUUGGAGUGUUGGACAACAGAGCAACUUCUUCCUCCUCAAAAGAAAGCUAGACUGUGCCAAUCAUGUCAGAGGCCCAAACCUGACAAGAAAGAAUCCAGUCUUCAGGGGAGUCCCGAACCAAAUUCUUCCCUUCUCUGAGAGAGGCUGGAAAAUAGGAUAUCUUUUUCUGAUUGUACAGUGUUGUGCCAGGGUAGGCAUUCUGGCAGAAGUGUGUCCUGAACCUUCUUUCUGGCUUUGGUGUGGUUGCAAACUGUCUUGAACUUCAUUUCAUCUCAACAGAAGACACUGGCUAGUGAUGGGGCUCAGAAUAUGCCACCCUAAAGUAUGACUGUAAGAGGCCAGAAUAUGUCACUUGAAAUAGGCCUUUAUGGAAUAAGAAUUAUUUUGAGCUGGUUAUUUUGAGAAGCUGCAGACACAAAAGAAGCUCUGAAAAGUCACCCUUUUACAAGUAAAAUUUACAUCUAUAAAGUAAAUAUCCAUUUGUGAUGGUGUCUCUCUAAAGCAAAAAAUCACUAGAGCCUCUUAAUCAAAGGAGAAAGCAUCAACUUAAAUUUUUAAAACAUACUUCUCCCUUGUUCUAUGGUGCUUUUCUGGCAUGCUUGUCUUAACCAGAUCUUCCCCCAUACCCUUCUUUCUUUGUUUCAGAGAACUAUGGUAAUUAAGCCUGAAGUAUAAGUAAACUCUUUGAAACGUACUCUACAUAUUUACUCAUUUCUUUGGGUUAUUUCCCAUGUAUACAGGAAGUAUACAUGUAAUUCAACCAUUUGUUUUUGCCUUGUUAGUCCAUCUUAUGUUACAGGGAGUCCCAGCAAAGAACUGGGAGGAGAAAAUUAUUUUUCCUCUCCUAUACUGGGUAAUGUGAUCCUACUGAAGAUACCAGUAGGAUCUCCUUAAACCUCAAUCUGC